AGAGUUUGAUCAUGGCUCAGGAUGAACGCUGGCGGCGUGCUUAACACAUGCAAGUCGAACGAUGAUCUCCAGCUUGCUGGGGGGAUUAGUGGCGAACGGGUGAGUAACACGUGAGUAACCUGCCCUUAACUCUGGGAUAAGCCUGGGAAACUGGGUCUAAUACCGGAUAUGACUCCUCAUCGCAUGGUGGGGGGUGGAAAGCUUUUUGUGGUUUUGGAUGGACUCGCGGCCUAUCAGCUUGUUGGUGAGGUAAUGGCUCACCAAGGCGACGACGGGUAGCCGGCCUGAGAGGGUGACCGGCCACACUGGGACUGAGACACGGCCCAGACUCCUACGGGAGGCAGCAGUGGGGAAUAUUGCACAAUGGGCGCAAGCCUGAUGCAGCGACGCCGCGUGAGGGAUGACGGCCUUCGGGUUGUAAACCUCUUUCAGUAGGGAAGAAGCGAAAGUGACGGUACCUGCAGAAGAAGCGCCGGCUAACUACGUGCCAGCAGCCGCGGUAAUACGUAGGGCGCAAGCGUUAUCCGGAAUUAUUGGGCGUAAAGAGCUCGUAGGCGGUUUGUCGCGUCUGCCGUGAAAGUCCGGGGCUCAACUCCGGAUCUGCGGUGGGUACGGGCAGACUAGAGUGAUGUAGGGGGGACUGGAAUUCCUGGUGUAGCGGUGAAAUGCGCAGAUAUCAGGAGGAACACCGAUGGCGAAGGCAGGUCUCUGGGCAUUAACUGACGCUGAGGAGCGAAAGCAUGGGGAGCGAACAGGAUUAGAUACCCUGGUAGUCCAUGCCGUAAACGUUGGGCACUAGGUGUGGGGGACAUUCCACGUUCUCCGCGCCGUAGCUAACGCAUUAAGUGCCCCGCCUGGGGAGUACGGCCGCAAGGCUAAACUCAAGGAAUUGACGG
rnacentral:rRNA from 1 species